CCUCAUAAAGCCAUUUUAUCACAUGGUAAGAUGGUCAAAGAUUUAUCGGCAUAAGAUGGGCCUGCGUCUGAUUAGCUAGUUGGUGGGGUAACGGCCUACCAAGGCGACGAUCAGUAGCCGACCUGAGAGGGUGAACGGCCACAUUGGAACUGAGACACGGUCCAAACUCCUACGGGAGGCAGCAGUGGGGAAUAUUGCACAAUGGGCGAAAGCCUGAUGCAGCAACGCCGCGUGAGCGAAGAAGGUCUUCGGAUCGUAAAGCUCUGUCCUUAGGGAAGAUAAUGACGGUACCUGAGGAGGAAGCCCCGGCUAACUACGUGCCAGCAGCCGCGGUAAUACGUAGGGGGCAAGCGUUAUCCGGAAUUAUUGGGCGUAAAGAGUGCGUAGGUGGUUACCUAAGCAGGGGGUGAAAGGCACUGGCUUAACCAAUGUCAGCCCCCUGAACUGGGUACCUUGAGUGCAGGAGAGGAAAGCGGAAUUCCUAGUGUAGCGGUGAAAUGCGUAGAUAUUAGGAGGAACACCAGUGGCGAAGGCGGCUUUCUGGACUGUUACUGACACUGAGGCACGAAAGUGUGGGGAGCAAACAGGAUUAGAUACCCUGGUAGUCCACACCGU
rnacentral:rRNA from 1 species